GAUAUAGUUGUCAUAUUCACAAGCCUGUUAAAAAAUGCAUGGGAGGGGUUGUGGGAGCUGGUGAGUCAGACAACAGCGAGUGAGGCAGUGAAUUAAGGCAUUAAUUACCUGUACUCUUUCACCGUUCACGGGCCUCUCGAUUGGUUUCGCUUUGUCUCCCAUGCAUGCAUGCCACCCUCUGCUGGCUGCUGCUGCUGCUGCUUGCUUGUGGCCCGCAGGUCACAUGCUCCGACAUUGCUGCAAAUUCUGUUUUAUUCUUUACCGUUCUUUUCUACUUCUAGAUUCAGCAAAAAAUUCCGUUCAGAAUGCCCUUGAUUUCGUACGCUUCCAUAUGUAUGCAUGCUAGCUCACGGUUCCAUAGUACUGUUAUGAUCACAAGGCUAGCUGUUUAAUUAUUGCAGUUUUCACGUUAGUCUUGCACGGCCUCUUGCCUGAUCUCUUCAUCACAGUACUGAGGCAGGUUUACAUGCAUCUAUAUUAUUUUAGUGCUUUAUAAUUCCUUAAUUUGCUUCUUUCAUUGAUACGAUCGAUCUCUGUUCCUUUUUCCACACAACGUAAGGUACGGUUGAACUUUAAACGAUUUGAUUAGGAACGUACUGACAGUAUUAUUGAGUAAGUUCCACGUCCAGAUCGAAUAGUGCUCCACAUGCAUCAAUGGAUCUACGAUAAGUAUCGCUUUUUGCAACCAAAAAAAAGGCUCGAUCGGUUUUGUUUUGUUAUUUUCAUUUUCUGAGCUGCUUUGUCACCUUUUCAUUGUUCCCAUGCUUCUUAAUAUAUCUGUUUAGAUUCGGACAUAUGCAGAUACCAUAAAACUUAAUUUUCAAGAUUAUUGGACCUACGGACCAUGGCUUCUUCUACCCUAAUUAACCAUGAUUUACUUCCGUAUUGAAACUUAUCAUUUUGAACAGUACUACUGGGAUUUCGGGAUUCUACUCCAAUUUGCGCUUCUUUGUAAAUACACAGUAUUCGAUGUUAUCUUGCUGUCCAUAUCAUGUUCUUUUCAGUACCUAUUAGGACAGUAAAAGUCAGUUCUCUAUCAAUUAUGCCUGAAGUCAUUGAGACAGUAAAGAAUGCUGCGUAACUCGAUAUAACUUUGCAUAAAGCGGUCGGGAUCAGUGACAGAAUGAAUUUCCUUGAAGUACAUGAUCUACUAUCGAUACACGAGUCCGAAUCCAAGGAAAGACUAGGGAUUCUUGAUUUGUUGUCAUGGAGGACAGACCAAUAGAAGAUCAGAGCAGAUAAGCUGCCUUUUCCAACCAAGUUCGUGAGUGCUCGGUUCAUUCCCGUAAGCAACAAAAUGCCAAGCAUGUAGGACUGUCCUGGGUGUUAUUAAA